GCGGCGGGUAGGAUCGGGAGCUAGCCCUGCCCCUUUGCCUCAGUACGGGCUACAGAGGGGUCAGUAACCCUUCGGGUGGCCGGGUUUGGCCUGGGGGUUAGACGCGUCGUGCUCCGUGGAUGCCCUGCCCCGUGGGGUCGGCGGUUGCGCCUGCGCCCUCGUAGGGGGGCGUGGUGCGCUGUAGUCGGGUGAAUCUGGCCAGGCCCGGGAGGGAGCGACCUAAGCUCGGACGUUGGAUGCUCGCGGGAUCCGGGGCGGAGGGGGACGGCGUGACCCUGCCUCCGGGCCUGCUUGGGAUCCCUGGGGGGCCGUCGC
rnacentral:SRP_RNA from 1 species